GACGGAGGAUGCAAGCGUUAUCCGGAAUGAUUGGGCGUAAAGCGUCUGCAGGUGGCAGUUCAAGUCUGCUGUCAAAGACCGGGGGCUUAACUUCGGAAAGGCAGUGGAAACUGAACAGCUAGAGUAUGGUAGGGGCAGAGGGAAUUCCUGGUGUAGCGGUGAAAUGCGUAGAGAUCAGGAAGAACUCGGUGGCGGAAGGCGCUCUGCUGGACCA
rnacentral:rRNA from 1 species